CCUACGGGAGGCUGCAGUGGGGAAUAUUGGACAAUGGGCGAAAGCCUGAUCCAGCCAUGCCGCGUGUGUGAAGAAGGCCUUCGGGUUGUAAAGCACUUUCAGUGGGGAAGAAAGCCUUGGGGCUAAUACCCUCGAGGAAGGACAUCACCCACAGAAGAAGCACCGGCUAACUCCGUGCCAGCAGCCGCGGUAAUACGGAGGGUGCGAGCGUUAAUCGGAAUUACUGGGCGUAAAGCGCGCGUAGGCGGUCUGAUAAGCCGGUUGUGAAAGCCCCGGGCUCAACCUGGGAACGGCAUCCGGAACUGUCAGGCUAGAGUGCAGGAGAGGAAGGUAGAAUUCCCGGUGUAGCGGUGAAAUGCGUAGAGAUCGGGAGGAAUACCAGUGGCGAAGGCGGCCUUCUGGACUGACACUGACGCUGAGGUGUGAAAGCGUGGGUAGCAAACAGGAUUAGAUACCCCAGUAGUC
rnacentral:rRNA from 1 species